GACGAACGCUGGCGGCGUGCUUAACACAUGCAAGUCGAACGGAAAGGCCCUGCUUUUGUGGGGUGCUCGAGUGGCGAACGGGUGAGUAACACGUGGGUAACCUGCCCUUGACUUUGGGAUAACUUCAGGAAACUGGGGCUAAUACCGGAUAGGAGCUCCUGCUGCACGGUGGGGGUUGGAAAGUUUCGGCGGUUGGGGAUGGACUCGCGGCUUAUCAGCUUGUUGGUGGGGUAGUGGCUUACCAAGGCUUUGACGGGUAGCCGGCCUGAGAGGGUGACCGGCCACAUUGGGACUGAGAUACGGCCCAGACUCCUACGGGAGGCAGCAGUGGGGAAUAUUGCACAAUGGGCGGAAGCCUGAUGCAGCAACGCCGCGUGCGGGAUGACGGCCUUCGGGUUGUAAACCGCUUUCGCCUGUGACGAAGCGUGAGUGACGGUAAUGGGUAAAGAAGCACCGGCUAACUACGUG
rnacentral:rRNA from 1 species